AGUCUGAUGGAGCAACGCCGCGUGAGUGAAGAAGGGAUUCGGCUCGUAAAGCUCUGUUGUUAAAGAAGAACGUAGGUAAGAGUAACUGUUUACCCAGUGACGGUAUUUAUCCAGAAAGCCACGGCUAACUACGUGCCAGCAGCCGCGGUAAUACGUAGGUGGCAAGCGUUAUCCGGAUUUAUUGGGCGUAAAGCGAGCGCAGGCGGUCUUUUAAGUCUAAUGUGAAAGCCUUCGGCUCAACCGAAGAAGUGCAUUGGAAACUGGGAGACUUGAGUGCAGAAGAGGACAGUGGAACUCCAUGUGUAGCGGUGAAAUGCGUAGAUAUAUGGAAGAACACCAGUGGCGAAGGCGGCUGUCUGGUCUGCAACUGACGCUGAGGCUCGAAAGCAUGGGUAGCGAACAGGAUUAGAUACCCUGGUAGUCCAUGCCGUAAACGAUGAUUACUAAGUGUUGGAGGGUUUCCGCCCUUCAGUGCUGCAGCUAACGCAUUAAGUAAUCCGCCUGGGGAGUACGACCGCAAGGUUGAAACUCAAAAGAAUUGACGGGGGCCCGCACAAGCGGUGGAGCAUGUGGUUUAAUUCGAAGCUACGCGAAGAACCUUACCAGGUCUUGACAUCUUCUGACAGUCUAAGAGAUUAGAGGUUCCCUUCGGGGACAGAAUGACAGGUGGUGCAUGGUUGUCGUCAGCUCGUGUCGUGAGAUGUUGGGUUAAGUCCCGCAACGAGCGCAACCCUUAUUACUAGUUGCCAGCAUUAAGUUGGGCACUCUAGUGAGACUGCCGGUGACAAACCGGAGGAAGGUGGGGACGACGUCAAAUCAUCAUGCCCCUUAUGACCUGGGCUACACACGUGCUACAAUGGAUGGUACAACGAGUCGCGAGACCGCGAGGUUAAGCUAAUCUCUUAAAACCAUUCUCAGUUCGGACUGUAGGCUGCAACUCGCCUACACGAAGUCGGAAUCGCUAGUAAUCGCGGAUCAGCAUGCCGCGGUGAAUACGUUCCCGGGCCUUGUACACACCGCCCGUCACACCAUGAGAGUUUGUAACACCCAAAGCCGGUGGGGUAACCUUUUAGGAGCUAGCCGUCUAAGGUGGGACAGAUGAUUAGGGUGAAGUCGUAACA
rnacentral:rRNA from 1 species